ensembl:misc_RNA Metazoa_SRP Metazoan signal recognition particle RNA
GCCGGGCAUGGUGGUGCAUGCCUGUAAUCCCAGCUACUUGGGAGGCUGAGGCAGGAGAAUCGCUUGAACUCAGGAGGCAGAGGUUGCAGUGAGCUGAGAUCGUGCCACUGCACUCCAACCUGGGUGACAGAGUGAGACUCCAUCUCAA